rnacentral:rRNA from 1 species
CGGGACGGGUGAGUAACGCGUGGGUAACCUGCCUCAUACAGGGGGAUAACAGUUAGAAAUGACUGCUAAUACCGCAUAAGCGCACAAAACCGCAUGGUUUGGUGUGAAAAACUGAGGUGGUAUGAGAUGGACCUGCGUCUGAUUAGCUAGUUGGAGAGGUAACGGCUCACCAAGGCAACGAUCAGUAGCCGACCUGAGAGGGUGACCGGCCACAUUGGGACUGAGACACGGCCCAAACUCCUACGGAAGGCAGCAG